UCCGCUGUUGGUAAUCGAUUAGCGUGUGGAAUAGAAUUCGUCCUGCAUUUUCAGACUAUGAAUAUCGUGACUAUCACGUCUAAUGCUUAUGGAAAAUGUGAGGCCUGUGGUACAUUUGUGUUUGACGCAAAAAAUGCCCUUAGGGUCGAGUUUUUGGGAAUUGCAGCCAAAAGUUGAUGGAAAAUCGCACCUGAAACUAGACAUGACUACGAAACCGACAAAGAACAAGAACAGAGAGGAAAAAUUGGAAAGAACUUUGUGGAAAGAAUUCAACCGGACAUGUGAAACUGUUCAGAAGGAAGCAGAUGGUGACUCGAUAAUCAGUUGAUUUGACAUGUGAUUCCUGACCCGGAACGUCGGGGUUAUGUUUUCAAACGUCUGUCUUAAUUAUUAAUUUCCUUGAACAAGGAAUUCAUCUCGCAGUUUCGUCGUUGCACUUUGGUUCGGUGCAACCAACCGAUAUACGGUCAGCAAGCCUCUGAACUGUGGACAACAUUGUUCUCGCGAGGGCAUGCGAAAAUGGGCGAGGGAUAUGGUCAUGCUGUCUCAUGGGAGACCCUCUUAGGGCUGCAAUUCGCUUACUGUUCAAUGGGAUAUUCAGCGCAAGGCAUAAGUCCUGUUGCUAUUAAGAUCCAGGUAUGAUACCAGUAAGUGAAUAAGGAACCAAAAGAUACCGGAUAUUCGUCAUGAUACGG
rnacentral:ncRNA from 1 species